rnacentral:rRNA from 1 species
AUAGAGAUGGGCACGCGCAAGAUUAGAUAGUUGGUGAGGUAACGGCUCACCAAGUCAGCGAUCUUUAGGGGGCCUGAGAGGGUGAUCCCCCACACUGGUACUGAGACACGGACCAGACUCCUACGGGAGGCAGCAGUGAGGAAUAUUGGACAAUGGGUGAGAGCCUGAUCCAGCCAUCCCGCGUGAAGGACGACGGCCCUAUGGGUUGUAAACUUCUUUUGUAUAGGGAUAAACCUAGAUACGUGUAUCUAGCUGAAGGUACUAUACGAAUAAGCACCGGCUAACUCCGUGCCAGCAGCCGCGGUAAUACGGAGGGUGCAAGCGUUAUCCGGAUUUAUUGGGUUUAAAGGGUCCGUAGGCGGAUCUGUAAGUCAGUGGUGAAAUCUCACAGCUUAACUGUGAAACUGCCAUUGAUACUGCAGGUCUUGAGUGUUGUUGAAGUAGCUGGAAUAAGUAGUGUAGCGGUGAAAUGCAUAGAUAUUACUUAGAACACCAAUUGCGAAGGCAGGUUACUAAGCAACAACUGACGCUGAUGGACGAAAGCGUGGGGAGCGAACAGGAUUAGAUACCCUGGUAGUCCACGCCGUAAACGAUGCUAACUCGUUUUUGGGGCGUAAGCUUCAGAGACUAAGCGAAAGUGAUAAGUUAGCCACCUGGGGAGUACGAACGCAAGUUUGAAACUCAAAGGAAUUGACGGGGGCCCGCACAAGCGGUGGAUUAUGUGGUUUAAUUCGAUGAUACGCGAGGAACCUUACCAAGGCUUAAAUGGGAAAUGACAGGCUUAGAAAUAGGCUUUUCUUCGGACAUUUUUCAAGGUGCUGCAUGGUUGUCGUCAGCUCGUGCCGUGAGGUGUUAGGUUAAGUCCUGCAACGAGCGCAACCCCUGUCACUAGUUGCCAUCAUUAAGUUGGGGACUCUAGUGAGACUGCCUACGCAAGUAGAGAGGAAGGUGGGGAUGACGUCAAAUCAUCACGGCCCUUACGCCUUGGGCCACACACGUAAUACAAUGGCCGGUACAGAGGGCAGCUACACAGCGAUGUGAUGCAAAUCUCGAAAGCCGGUCUCAGUUCGGAUUGGAGUCUGCAACUCGACUCUAUGAAGCUGGAAUCGCUAGUAAUCGCGCAUCAGCCAUGGCGCGGUGAAUACGUUCCCGGGCCUUGUACACACCGCCCGUCAAGCC